CCCAAAUCCCGUGGGCCUCUGCGAGGUGGUAUUUAAGUAUGUCGCUACAGCCCUUCGGUCUCAUUUUUCCGCGGCGUUCGGGUUCGGGCGCACUUUGAACGCUGGAGAAUGGAGAGGAGCCGACUUGUUAGGAUGUGGUUCAGCUCAAAAGACCUUACAGGUUGGAGGAUGGGACAAGACCUGUCGUGCAAACUAGGUAUUACGGUAAUGCUCCAGCAUCUCAUCACUAGGCCUGAGGAAUCCAACUGCCUCCCAGGGUGAAUACAGGUUGUCCUGAUGGUGACACAUUCCUCUAUCUUAAAGCUCCAUGCCCAACGUGGGGCUCAAACUCAUGACCUCGAGUCGAAUGCUCCACCAACUGAGCCAGCCAGGCGUCUCUUGAUCAAUUUCUUGUAGAUGUUCAUUGAUGAUUCUGCCCAGGGUUGAGCUUUCGGAGAGCGUUAAGGAUGGUGAGUACUUGUAACCUUAGUGGUUGUGGCUUGCCAGAGUAUGUGCCAGUGAGGAAAGCAAGCAUCCUGUCUUACCCCUGUUCCAGCCCCAGAGCCAGUAAUGGUGAACCCACUGGGGCUAACUGGGAGAAAGGAUGAGAAUUUGUUCGUAAGGAACUGUCUGAGGUACAGUGUAUGCCUGUCAAUAGCAUCUGCUUGGCUUUUCUUAGUUUAAAUCCAUUAAUCAUAGUUGGAAUGGAUGUGGCUGUUUUAGAUCCUUCACUUAAUUAUGUAAUCUUCUCUUUCAGGAGCAGCUUGUUCUGUGUGCUGCCCAAAAGCCUCCAGAGUUAACAGGUGCUGUUAACCCAUUAACCUGCUUGUUUGCGCAAAGGUCCAGUGCCUUAUGUGGAGCCCAGGAAUGAUUUGAGCAAUAGGGACCGGAGAUGUUUGAGAGGCUUAGUUAUCAAUCUUCUGCAGGAACCCUCAGCCGUUUUUCUGCUUAGCUCCAGUCUGAAGUCAGAGGUGUGAAAAAAGAACAAGGCCCAUAUCACAGGAAUCCACUUCUUCAGGGAUACCAAAAGGAAGUCUUCAGGUCAUUUUUUGUACAACCUAGCUGUGGAAAUUAGCAUACAGUUGUUUCAGCCUUUCUAAAUAAAAGUUUAACCUUCA